rnacentral:misc_RNA from 1 species
UAACGGAUUUUGCCAUGUCAACAUAGGAAAUGUAAAAAAAAACCAAAAUUGAUAUUAAUUAAACCUAAUUUAUGAUAAAAGAAAAAAAUAAAGAAAAUUCAUUUCCAGCAAAAUUGACACAUCUACCAAGAACAUAGAGGUUCGUAUUCUACCUCCCCACUCCUCUACCACUAACUUCCCUCAACCUCUAUAUCUCACAAAGUCAUUAGACACCAGUCUCUUGCAUCCACUUACUCUACCAUCACCGAUUAGUACACUUAUUUCUCCCAUACUGCAUUAGAGCAUAUAACUUUUUUCAACCAUCCUUCAUUACCUUGAUAAGUCAUCACCUUUGUGACACUCAUUUCUAUCCAACCUAACUCUACCCUUAUAAAGACUCAACCUCACUCUCUAUCAAUAUUUCCUCUUAACAACUCAACCAAACCCAUUUUGACAACAUCAAAAUAUGAUCCAUUAAUUUAUUAAUUAGGGUCUAUUUUAUUGUAAAUUGGGUUUAAUUAGUUUUAAUUUAAGGGAUUGAAAGUGCUAACCUUGCACCUCUAUUAGCAUUUAACAGGGCAAUCAACAAUAGGUUGAAUUGUAGUAAAUUUCAAAGUUCAGAUUAUAUUUGUUUAAAAAAUAGUUUAGGGUGUAAUUGUGAAAGAAAAAAAGGUGAAGUUUGAGAAUUUUUUUAAACAUUUUUACCAUUAGAAUUAACAGCGGAAUAAACGACAGGAUACAAUUGUAAAAAACCUCAAAUUUCAGGAUUUUUUUGGACAUUAUCCCUACCUUUAUCAAAUGCAAAAUUAUAUCAGUUGCUAUUAAAAAAAUUUAUAUAUUCACACUUGAAAUAAAAUUAUA